UAGACAUCGGUGUCAGAUAUCGGUGACAGAUAUCAGUGUGAGGUUAGACAUCGGUGUCAGAUAUCGGUGUGAGGUUAGACAUCGGUGUCAGAUAUCGGUGUGAGGUUAGACAUCGGUGUCAGAUAUCGGUGUGAGAUUAGACAUCGGUGUCAGAUAUCAGUGUGAGGUU